rnacentral:rRNA from 1 species
UACAGAGGGGGCAAGCGUUAUUCGGAAUUAUUGGGCGUAAAGGGCGCGUAGGCGGCUUGGCAAGUGGAAGGUGAAAUCCCUCGGCUUAACCGAGGAACUGCCCUCCAAAACUGCUUUGCUUGAGGCCGGGAGAGGUGAGUGGAAUUCCCAGUGUAGCGGUGAAAUGCGUAGAUAUUGGGAGGAACACCAGUGGCGAAGGCGGCUCACUGGCUCGGUACUGACGCUGAGGUGCGAAAGCGUGGGGAGCAAACAGGG